UCUUUCAGCACUUCCCCCCAUUUGUCAUCUUUACACUGGGGGAGGAGGGAGCUCCCGUUCCAGUCUCGCUCUCAGAUACAGCAGCUGGCCCCUUGUGUUGCAGCAGCUCUGCACGUGUGUCCCCAGGCUUCACAGUGGUGGGGUUUAAGCAAGCCUCCUCUUCAAAGGUCACCAGGGCGGGCAGUCCCUUGGAGGCCCUGCCUCAGAGCAGCUGCACGAGCCUAACAGCUUGGCUCAGGUUAGAGAAGUUGCCCAUGGGGGUGAUAGUGCUGCAUGGGAGGUAAGAGGGAAGCAUUAACCUCAGUCCUGGAAGACAUGGGCUCAAUUCCCUGCUCCUCCACCAACUGCCUGUGUUUCCUUGGGCAAGUUACUUAGGUGGUGCCUCAGUUUCCCCUCUGUACAAUGGAGGCAACAGGGGUUGUGCUCUUUGCCAGGGGGUGGGUGGAUACCUGCCUUAGAUUCCGAAGGGCUCACGUUCAGUGGUACCUUAGUUGAAAAGUUACAGCUGGUGGGCUGUAGGAACGGAUGAGAAUUGGAGGGAAGAUGGAGCCAUGGGUCUGAUCUGGAGCAUGGGAGUGGGGGAACAGCCUGGCUGGGCCCUUUGCUCAGAGCCGGGGAAGGAACUGGGGACAUGGCUGUGUGUGUGUGUGGGCGGGGGGUACCAGCUCUAUAGCCUCUGGUUCUGAUUCAUGCUGCAUGAUCUAAAUCAAAACAGUGCUUAGAUGUUACAGCAGGGUUAGAUUAGCAUGGUGGGGAGAUGCAUUGGUCUCGUGCAGCUUCUCCCUUUUAAUGCAAGGAGAAACCCCUCUGCCCUGGCUUGCCUCACACUGUAUCAGUGGAAGGGGGCAGAGCUAGCACAUUACUCCCUGGAGCCAAUCAUGCAGGGCUGGAUCUGCUGCUAACCAACCCCCCUGUGGGAGGAAUCGUCGUCCCUUUUGCAGGGGACAUGGCUGUAGCUUUGAAGAGUAGAGGUAUUGAGUGGUGCAGAAUUCCCUGCAGCUUCUCUCCCCACCCAGCUCAAAGCCACCAGGAUCCUCCUUCCAGCUAAGCUCAGCUUCAGCCCAGGACUGGUGGGUGUGUGGCUGAUGCAAAUCUAACAGCAUCACUGUGAGCCUCACUUUACCGCUCCAUGCAAGAUCCCCCUCUUCAAGGUUAGCUUGGGGUCCCAGCAGCAUUGCUGCCUCUGAGCUCUUAACAGCUGAGCGCAGCAGGAGGAAGACAGACCUGAGCAUCAGGCAGCUGGUAGAACCACAGCUACUCCUUGACUCUUUCCUCCAAAGCUGGCAACUGCCAGGGCUGAGGCUCCUCCCAGUUAGCUGGUGUCCAGGUGCCUUUGUGCAGUCCUGCUUCUUGUUUGCACAUGGACUGGCACAGCUCAUACACAGGCCAUGCUGCCUUGGGUACACUUGGAUGCCAGUAGCACUAGGGCCCAUUUGCCCAGCCACAAAUCGUGGUCAAACAGUCAGCCCUGAGGUAUAGGCCUAAAGAGCCAAGCAAGUCUAUGAGCCCAAGAAUCCCUUGCCCAACACAGCAGGCUUGGUGGGAGAAUGGAAGCCAUGGCACGAGUUAAGGAUCCUACCAGAAUAUUCCAGGCCUCAAUGGGUAACACACCCCUGCCUCCCUGGCAUGGGCUGGCCCUCUGGAUGCAGAAGCAGCAGUCUGCAUACCAGAGACAUUUUACUUGUAGUCUUACCUUGAGUUAGCGCUAGUUCCCACACCUCAGAUCACGCUCUAGGGAUCACACCAGAUGCAUCAGAAGUGGCUACCCAAGGAGGGAUGCCAUGAGUGUCUGUGGUUCCUAAUGGGUUGCAUGGAUGGUGUUCAGAGCCAUCUUUUGGGGCUUCUCUUCUUCCAUUCCAGCUCUGAAUGCCCUGCUCUGGCCAGCAGGGAAAAGCGAGUUCUUAACAUACAAAGAUAUGCAAAGUCAGGGCAUUUUGCCAUCAGCUACACAUGCAGCAGGCAAGUCCAGCUAGCAGGUUUCAGACUCUCAUGGGAUGUCUGUAGUGAUUAGUAGCUGCCAUAGAGUUAGGUUUUUGUGCCCUUAUAAAUUGUCAUUUUACAAACAGCGUAGGUACUGAAAGAUGGUAGGUCAGACACAGGAGCAGUCGCACUUGCCAGCACAGGAGGUAGGUAGCCCAGCUGUGAAGCCUCAUGUUUUCCAGGUAUGGGGAGAAUAGCAGCUUGAUUCAAAUCCUAAUCUCCCCUGCCAAUGACCAUUGAAAAAUCAGGUGGCAGGUUGGGGUCAUUUGAGGUACAGACUUAGCUGUGCCCACCUUGGCUAUAAUCAUCUCAGUAAAGACCUAUGUGAAGCCUGAGUGGUUUCAAGUGAAACGUUUUUAUAACCACCCUUCCUUUCAGAGAGCAACUUGCUCCUUGUAGCUACCAUGUAAAUGUUAUUACCAAUUAUAUUUAUAUGCCUAUGUUACACUUUAGUGACAGUAUUGGAAUAUUUGUAUGUGGUCCUUGUGAAAAAGUGUUUUGCAUCAGUAUUUUAUAUGCCUAUGUUUUGUAAACAUGUUAAAUAAAUCCUUUCAAAUGA